rnacentral:ncRNA from 17 species
AAUCAUCGGGGAUCGAUUGGUUCCCGGAAAGCGAACGCGCUUCGGGAGUAAACGGGAACGUGACGGGUGGACCCAAGCUGGGCAUCUUAAUCACGGCCGACCCCGCGACUGUAGUGCGGUGUGAAUUUGCCGUUCCGGAGCGAUCCGGAAAAAGCCACUGGAGAAGACCGCAAGAGGGCGGUUCGAUCUGGGAAGGCGAGGCAAAUCCCUGGUGCAACACCUGACGCCGCGAGCCAGGAAACCUGCCAAUCGAUGCGGGCGCAAU